AUUGAACGCUGGCGGCAGGCUUAACACAUGCAAGUCGAGCGGGGUGAUGGUGCUUGCACUAUCACUUAGCGGCGGACGGGUGAGUAAUGCUUAGGAAUCUGCCUAUUAGUGGGGGACAACAUCUCGAAAGGGAUGCUAAUACCGCAUACGUCCUACGGGAGAAAGCAGGGGAUCACUUGUGACCUUGCGCUAAUAGAUGAACCUAAGUCGGAUUAGCUAGUUGGUGGGGUAAAGGCCUACCAAGGCGACGAUCUGUAGCGGGUCUGAGAGGAUGAUCCGCCAGACUGGGGCUGAAACACGGCCCAGACUCCUACGGGAGGCAGCAGUGGGGAAUAUUGGACAAUGGGGGGAACCCUGAUCCAGCCAUGCCGGGUGUGUGAAGAAGGCCUUAUGGUUGUAAAGCACUUUAAGCGAGGAGGAGGCUCUUUUGGUUAAUACCCAAGAUGAGUGGACGUUACUCGCAGAAUAAGCACCGGCUAACUCUGUGCCAGCCGCCGUAAUAC
rnacentral:rRNA from 1 species